GAACGAACGCGGGCGGCGUGCCUAACACAUGCAAGUCGAACGGAUUGAAGGGGCUUGCUCCUUCAGUUAGUGGCGCACGGGUGAGUAACGCGUAGAUAAUCUGCCUGAUGAUCUGGGAUAACACUUCGAAAGGGGUGCUAAUACCGGAUAAGCCCACGUGGUCUUUGGAUCGUGCGGGAAAAGGGGGGGACCUUCGGGCCUUCUGUCAUCAGAUGAGUCUGCGUACCAUUAGCUAGUUGGUAGGGUAAUGGCCUACCAAGGCUACGAUGGUUAGCUGGUUUGAGAGAAUGAUCAGCCACACUGGAACUGAGACACGGUCCAGACUCCUACGGGAGGCAGCAGUGGGGAAUUUUGCGCAAUGGGCGAAAGCCUGACGCAGCAACGCCGCGUGAGUGAUGAAGGCUUUCGGGUCGUAAAGCUCUGUCGAGGGGAAAGAAGUGUAUUGUGGCUAAUAUCCACGAUACUUGACGGUACCCCUAAAGGAAGCACCGGCUAACUCCGUGCCAGCAGCCGCGGUAAUACGGGGGGUGCAAGCGUUGUUCGGAUUUAUUGGGCGUAAAGAGCGUGUAGGCGGUUUGUUAAGUCUGAUGUGAAAGCCCUGGGCUCAACCCAGGAAGUGCAUUGGAAACUGGCAGACUUGAAUACGGGAGAGGGCAGUGGAAUUCCUAGUGUAGGAGUGAAAUCCGUAGAUAUUAGGAGGAACACCGGUGGCGAAGGCGGCUGCCUGGACCGAUAUUGACGCUGAGACGCGAAAGCGUGGGUAGCAAACAGGAUUAGAUACCCUGGUAGUCCACGCCGUAAACGAUGAGAACUAGGUGUUGCGGGUAUUGACCCCUGCAGUGCCGCAGCUAACGCAUUAAGUUCUCCGCCUGGGAAGUACGGGUCGCAGACUAAAACUCAAAG
rnacentral:rRNA from 1 species